rnacentral:rRNA from 1 species
CCUACGGGUGGCAGCAGUGGGGAAUAUUGGUCAAUGGACGCAAGUCUGAACCAGCCAUGCCGCGUGCGGGAAGACGGCUCUAUGAGUUGUAAACUGCUUUUGUACGAGGGUAAACGCAUAUGCGUAUAUCUUUCUGAAAUUAUCGUACGAAUAAGGAUCGGCUAACUCCGUGCCAGCCGCCGCGGUAAUACGGAGGGUUCAAGCGUUAUCCGGUUUGAUUGGGUUUAAAGGGUGAGUAGGCGGGCGGAUAAGUUAGAGGUGAAAUCCCGAGGCCCAACUCCGGAAUUGCCUCUGAUACUGUUCGGCUAGAGAGUAGUUGCGGUAGGCGGAAUGUAUGGUGUAGCGGUGAAAUGCUUAGAGAUCAUACAGAACACCGAUGGCGAAGGCAGCUUACCAAGCUACUUCUGACGUUGAGGCACGAAAGCGUGGGGAGCAAACAGGAUUAGAUACCCUGGUAGUC